AUGAACGCUGGCGGCGUGCCUAAUACGUGCAAGUCGAGCGAACAGACGAGGAGCUUGCUCCUCUGACGUUAGCGGCGGACGGGUGAGUAACACGUGGAUAACCUACCUAUAAGACUGGGAUAACUUCGGGAAACCGGAGCUAAUACCGGAUAAUAUAUUGAACCGCAUGGUUCAAUAGUGAAAGACGGUUUUGCUGUCACUUAUAGAUGGAUCCGCGCCGCAUUAGCUAGUUGGUAAGGUAACGGCUUACCAAGGCAACGAUGCGUAGCCGACCUGAGAGGGUGAUCGGCCACACUGGAACUGAGACACGGUCCAGACUCCUACGGGAGGCAGCAGUAGGGAAUCUUCCGCAAUGGGCGAAAGCCUGACGGAGCAACGCCGCGUGAGUGAUGAAGGUCUUCGGAUCGUAAAACUCUGUUAUUAGGGAAGAACAAAUGUGUAAGUAACUAUGCACGUCUUGACGGUACCUAAUCAGAAAGCCACGGCUAACUACGUG
rnacentral:rRNA from 1 species